GCGUGAUGAUUAUUUAUUUUUGAAAUUGUUAUUGAGUUGGUUAUAAAUGUGUUUUGAAAAUGUAAAAUGGGUCAGUCUGUCGACCCUGCCAGAUAUGGGUUGGACUGACAUUUUGAGCACUUUUAACAAUAAGGGUCUGGCCAAUUCAUAUUGUGACGGACCAAAGACGGGACGGGCAGGACCGACCGUUUUGACCGCUAUUACCACCCCUAGUUUCAAAAUAAAUUUUUUUUUGAAGAGUUUGUAUUACUUUUGAGAGAAUUUAUGGACUUUGU
rnacentral:lncRNA from 1 species